rnacentral:lncRNA from 1 species
AAUAUUUAGUUUUCUUAAAUUGUGAUCUCUUUGUGAAUUAUGCCUUAGUGCCACAUUUGUGAAUCUGUGAUUUUCACACCUUGCUAAGCCUUUCAGUGCAAUGGGUGAAUAUUCAAAGGAAAAAAAGUUAUAACAUCAUACCAGAAAAACAACUGAUUAAAUAGUAAUUGAUACAAUUAAGGAGUAACUCUUUUACUUGAAAAUCCUGAAUAAGCAAAAAGUAUGUGGUAUCUAUUUUUUAAAAAAAAAUUGAAAGUAGACAAUUUAUUCUAAAAUAACAUAUGUAGAAGAAUCUUUGCUCAGUGACAUUGAACUGAGAACUUAACUUCUCUGGACCUUUGUUUCAAUCAUAAAUUGAGAAGGCUUGUAGAUAUCGCCAAGAUUUCCCAGGUUUGGCACAGGAUAAUUAUAAGGGUACAUUUUCUAUUUCAAAGAUGUCAAAUCUAUUUGCUCAGUCAACUUUUUUAUUUCAUAUCGUGAUAAUGGUCUGCUUUUGCAAAUUAUGUUUGCA